AGAGUUUGAUCCUGGCUCAGGAUGAACGCUGGCGGCGUGCCUAACACAUGCAAGUCGAGCGAAGCACUUAACUUGAUUUUCUUCGGAACUGAUUGUUUUGUGACUGAGUGGCGGACGGGUGAGUAACGCGUGGGCAACCUGCCUCACACAGGGGGACAACAGCCGGAAACGGCUGCUAAUACCGCAUAAGCGCACAGCUUCGCAUGAAGCAGUGUGAAAAGCUCCGGUGGUGUGAGAUGGGCCCGCGUCUGAUUAGCUGGUUGGCAGGGCAACGGCCUACCAAGGCGACGAUCAGUAGCCGGCCUGAGAGGGUGGACGGCCACAUUGGGACUGAGACACGGCCCAGACUCCUACGGGAGGCAGCAGUGGGGAAUAUUGCACAAUGGGGGAAACCCUGAUGCAGCGACGCCGCGUGAGCGAAGAAGUAUUUCGGUAUGUAAAGCUCUAUCAGCAGGGAAGAAAUGACGGUACCUGACUAAGAAGCUCCGGCUAAAUACGUGCCAGCAGCCGCGGUAAUACGUAUGGAGCAAGCGUUAUCCGGAUUUACUGGGUGUAAAGGGAGCGCAGGCGGCAGGGCAAGUCUGACGUGAAAACCCGGGGCUCAACCCCGGGAGUGCAUUGGAAACUGUUCAGCUGGAGUGUCGGAGAGGCAAGCGGAAUUCCUAGUGUAGCGGUGAAAUGCGUAGAUAUUAGGAGGAACACCAGUGGCGAAGGCGGCUUGCUGGACGAUGACUGACGCUGAGGCUCGAAAGCGUGGGGAGCAAACAGGAUUAGAUACCCUGGUAGUCCACGCCGUAAAC
rnacentral:rRNA from 1 species